CCACGUCCCGACGCACUCCCCCCGGCGCCGGGACUUCCCGAGCCGGGCUCGGCUGCCCCUACCCCCCUGGGGCGCCGCAGCCCGGCUCCUUC
rnacentral:ncRNA from 15 species